AUUGAACGCUGGCGGCAGGCCUAACACAUGCAAGUCGAACGAGUGGCGGACGGGUGAGUAAUGUCUGGGAAACUGCCCGAUGGCGGGGGAUAACUAAUGGAAACGGUAGCUAAUACCGCAUACCAUCGGAUGUGCCCAGAUGGGAAUAGCUAGUAGGUGGGGUAACAGCUCACCUAGGCGACGAUCCCUAGCUGGUCUGAGAGGAUGCCAAGCCACAAGGUAACUGAGACAAGGUCCAGACUCCUACGGGAGGCAGCAGUGGGGAAUAUUGAACAAGGGGCGCAAGCCUGAUGCAGCCAUGCCGCGUCUAUGAAGAAGGCCUUCGGGUUGUAAAGGACUAUCCGCGUGGAGGCGUUACUCGCAGAAGAAGCACCGGCUAACUCCGUGCCAGCAGCCGCGGUAAUAC
rnacentral:rRNA from 1 species